rnacentral:lncRNA from 1 species
AUUACCCAAGAAGACCAUACUCCUCAACCCAGUUUUCAAGGCUCUCUUCACUAGAAGUUGGAUUCCCACCUUCCAACUUUCUCUCAUAUGUUUCCAAUUUGUUCCUCAAGACCCAGCUUAGAGCCAGCUACACCUUAUAAGGCAUUGCCUAUGGUUGGAAGUGAAAUCCUGGAUUUCCUCAACAGCUUGGAGUCGGAGGGCUGUUGCUGUGGUUGUGAUUACAGCUGAAGUGCUGAAACCACUUAGUUUCUUGCCUAUGCUAUCAAACCUGAAUUCCAAUUGGCCUCCUGGGCCCCUAUAUCUGAUAAUGGCACCACCACGCUCCCAGGUCCUCGGGGUCUAUAACGUUGAUGCUGACACAUAGUAGGUGCUCAAUAAAUAUUUCACGGCUGGAUGAACCUAAGCAGUUGCCAUGUCCUGUGACAUCUCUCUCUAUAAUUAUCUUCAAUCUGUCAUCCUUUCAUUCCCAUGGUUAUUACCUAUGGUGGAUUAAAGAUGGUCACAAGUUUUUCACAAUGCUCCCAUUGAGAUGUGGGGUGUAUGUCCCCAACUCUUGAAUCUGAGUAGACUCUGUGAUUACUUGAACCAGUGGAAUGCAGUAGAAACGAUGUUCUGUCAGUCUGCGGGCCCAGGAUUUAAGAGGCUGGCAAUUUCCACUUCUUUCCUCUUGAAACUUUUAUUCUUAAAGCCCCGGGCUGCCGAACAGGCCCUGGGACUGCAUGAAGAGGGAGAACAGCCCAACAGAGACCGGCCUUCUGCUAAGGGGCCAGAUAUAAGAGUGAAGCUAUCUUGGACCCUCCAGACCCUCCAAGCCUACCAGCUGAAUACCAUUAAGUGACUCCAGGUGGUGUUAUGUGGAACAGAAGAAUCAUUCAGCUGAGUCCUGGAUCCAUCCUACACAAUUGUAGCUGAGCCUGAAUUCCUCAUCUUCACAGUUGUAAGAUAUAAUAAAAUUGUUGUCAUUUUAAGCCCUUACAUUUUGGAGUGAUUUGUAAG